rnacentral:rRNA from 1 species
AUUGAACGCUGGCGGCAGGCCUAACACAUGCAAGUCGAACGGUAACAGGAAGCAGCUUGCUGCUUUGCUGACGAGUGGCGGACGGGUGAGUAAUGUCUGGGAAACUGCCCGAUGGAGGGGGAUAACUACUGGAAACGGUAGCUAAUACCGCAUAACGUCGCAAGACCAAAGAGGGGGACCUUAGGGCUUCUUGCCAUCGGCUGUGCCCAGAUGGGAUUAGCUAGUAGGUGGGGUAACGGCUCACCUAGGCGACGAUCCCUAGCUGGUCUGAGAGGAUGACCAGCCACACUGGAACUGAGACACGGUCCAGACUCCUACGGGAGGCAGCAGUGGGGAAUAUUGCACAAUGGGCGCAAGCCUGAUGCAGCCAUGCCGCGUGUAUGAAGAAGGCCUUCGGGUUGUAAAGUACUUUCAGCGGGGAGGAAGGGAGUAAAGUUAAUACCUUUGCUCAUUGACGUUACCCGCAGAAGAAGCACCGGCUAACUCCGUG